UGAUACCUCUGCUAGCUUUACACAGUCAGUCUCUGGUGCUCCUCCCCAGCUCCUGCCCCUGCAGAUCAGCACACAGUUUCCCUCACCAUAUCCUGUAGUUCAAACAGGGAGCCACAUGCCCCCUAAAUUUUCCCCAACUCCUCUGCCGUCUGUCUACAGCAGCAGUGAGACUCCCAUGUCUAGCUCCUACUACUCACCUUUACCCUCUGGGCUCCAUCUCUCCUAUCCAUGCAGCCCAGCAGAUGCCUGAUUUGACACGUCCUGUUUCUAUUGCUGAUGAGGUGCUGCUGCAGCUGCAGGUGAGCCCACAGUGAGUUUGAAUGGUUCUCCAGGCAAAACUUCUUUCCCCACUCACAGCAGGGCACGGUCAUGCACCAGCCACCU